rnacentral:rRNA from 1 species
CAGUAGCCGCGGUAAUACAGAGGGUGCAAGCGUUAAUCGGAAUUACUGGGCGUAAAGCGCGCGUAGGUGGUUUGUUAAGUUGGAUGUGAAAUCCCCGGGCUCAACCUGGGAACUGCAUCCAAAACUGGCAAGCUAGAGUAUGGUAGAGGGUGGUGGAAUUUCCUGUGUAGCGGUGAAAUGCGUAGAUAUAGGAAGGAACACCAGUGGCGAAGGCGACCACCUGGACUGAUACUGACACUGAGGUGCGAAAGCGUGGGGAGCAAACAGGAUUAGAUACCCGGGUAGUCCCUGUCUCUUAUAU